rnacentral:rRNA from 1 species
GAUGAACGCUGGCGGCGUGCCUAAUACAUGCAAGUCGAGCGAACGGACGAGAAGCUUGCUUCUCUGAUGUUAGCGGCGGACGGGUGAGUAACACGUGGAUAACCUACCUAUAAGACUGGGAUAACUUCGGGAAACCGGAGCUAAUACCGGAUAAUAUUUUGAACCGCAUGGUUCAAAAGUGAAAGACGGUCUUGCUGUCACUUAUAGAUGGAUCCGCGCUGCAUUAGCUAGUUGGUAAGGUAACGGCUUACCAAGGCAACGAUGCAUAGCCGACCUGAGGGGGUGAUCGGCCACACUGGAACUGAGACACGGUCCAGACUCCUACGGGAGGCAGCAGUAGGGAAUCUUCCGCAAUGGGCGAAAGCCUGACGGGGCAACGCCGCGUGAGUGAUGAAGGUCUUCGGAUCGUAAAACUCUGUUAUUAGGGAAGAACAUAUGUGUAAGUAACUGUGCACAUCUUGACGGUACCUAAUCAGAAAGCCACGGCUAACUACGUG